CCCUGGGAGAACCUACAUAGAUUUUCUCCGCUGGGCAAUGGAAAUGCUACUUUGCGCGGAUGCAGUAGAGCUCUCUCUGUCUCCGUCUGUUGGGUGCUGCCUAGGACGCGGUAACAGAGGGAACAGAAGUUCGUUCCUCACGGUUUGGAGGCUGGGAAAUCCAGCAUCUACCAGCAUCCCAUGACAGAAGAGCAAGAGAAUCUCAACAGUGCUGUGGUCUCCUUUCACCUCCUUCCACUUCACUGGUUUCUGUUAGGUGCCCCAGGGAGAGAAAGGCAGUUUUCCACCUAGACACAGACUCAGAAAGUAUCACACUGCUGAUGACAGAUGGCACAAGAAUCCUAAACCCAGCAAUCCAGCUCUAUCCAGAUCCCAAGGGGAUAUGGCUAAAAGUAACUGGAUUAGACAGGAGAGGGAUUUGUACACUAAGUAGU
rnacentral:lncRNA from 1 species